rnacentral:rRNA from 1 species
UGCAAAUGCGAUUACUUGAGGGGGGUACGACUCCCUGGCGCGAUUCCUCGGUUGUCAGGAGGUGUCAGGCACCCUGAACUAGGACCCGUCCCAGUCUACCGGGAGGCAGCAUGGGGAAAUAUGCCACAUGGGGCCAGCUUGAUGCAGCAUGCCGCGGGUGUGGGAGGAGGCUUCCGGUGUACGCACUUCAGCGGGGAGGAAGGCGGUAAGGUAUAACUUGCGAUUGACGUCCCGCAGAAGAAGCCCGGCUAACUCGUGCCAGCAGCCGCCGGUAAUACGAGGGUGCCAGCGUUAAUCGGAAUUACUGGGCGUAAAGCGCACGCAGGCGGUCUGUCCAAGUCGGAUGUGAAAUUCCCGGGCUCAACCUGGGAACUGCAUUCGAAACUGGCAGGCUGAUCUUGUAGAGGGGGUAGAAUUCCAGGUGUAGCGGUGAAAUGCGUAGAGAUCUGGAGGAAUACCGGUGGCGAAGGCGGCCCCUGGACAAAGACUGACGCUCAGGUGCGAAAGCGUGGGGAGCAAACAGGAUUAGAUACCCUGGUAGUCCACGCCGUAAACGAUGUCGAUUUGGAGGUUGUGCCCUUGAGGCGUGGCUUCCGGAGCUAACGCGUUAAAUCGACCGCCUGGGGAGUACGGCCGCAAGGUUAAAACUCAAAUGAAUUGACGGGGGCCCGCACAAGCGGUGGAGCAUGUGGUUUAAUUCGAUGCAACGCGAAGAACCUUACCUGGUCUUGACAUCCACAGAACUUUCCAGAGAUGGAUUGGUGCCUUCGGGAACUGUGAGACAGGUGCUGCAUGGCUGUCGUCAGCUCGUGUUGUGAAAUGUUGGGUUAAGUCCCGCAACGAGCGCAACCCUUAUCCUUUGUUGCCAGCGGUUAGGCCGGGAACUCAAAGGAGACUGCCAGUGAUAAACUGGAGGAAGGUGGGGAUGACGUCAAGUCAUCAUGGCCCUUACGACCAGGGCUACACACGUGCUACAAUGGCAUAUACAAAGAGAAGCGACCUCGCGAGAGCAAGCGGACCUCAUAAAGUAUGUCGUAGUCCGGAUUGGAGUCUGCAACUCGACUCCAUGAAGUCGGAAUCGCUAGUAAUCGUAGAUCAGAAUGCUACGGUGAAUACGUUCCCGGGCCUUGUACACACCGCCCGUCACACCAUGGGAGUGGGUUGCAAAAGAAGUAGGUAGCUUAACUUCGGGAGGCGCUUACGAUCUGUGGACCGCGACUAC